rnacentral:ncRNA from 10 species
AGAAUAAACGGGAAUGAAGUUCUCCCGAAGUAACCAGAUUACUUGAACCGCUUUAAAAGCUGAUGACUUCUGCGACGAA